CAACAUUUUUGAAAGUUUUUUCUUCAAACAAAAACAAACUUCGAAAAUGGAAGCGUUUGUUCCGGUUGUCUUGAAGAUAUCUCACAGGAGUUUGUCAUCGCGAUUGGUUUUCUGCUAUAAUAUACCUCUCACUAGGACCUACCAGAUGCAAUAGAGAAUUCCGGAGGGAACCGUUGGGACAAUGCGGUACAAUCGGCAAAAAAACGACAAAGCCUGCACAAUAUAUGCCGUCUUUUUCGGGAUAUUUGGACUUGUUUCAUUCCUUCUUAACCAGCAGCGAGCAUGCUGAUUUCCAGUUAAAGGUAGCCUCACACUUCGGGAAAAUUUUCCGCCGGAUUUUGGUCCCAGUGCAUUUUAAAUUUUGAUUUUCCGUGCCCAAAUUCCCCAAAAAAAAACGCUUUGUGUAAAAAUACAUGGGGGGAAAAUUCGAGGACCAAGUUCCCGAGGUGUGAGGCUGCCUUGCUAUACCUUUAAAAGCACGGAACCAAAAUCCGGCGAAAAAUUUUCCGAUGUGAAAGGUUGCCCUAAACUGUAAUUAGCUCAUGUCACAAAGGAACAGAAGGAAAACGGAUGGAUAUACUUUGGAUAUACACAAAUCGCCAUUACCCUGUGCGAAAAGCUGGAUAGAUAUCAAACAUAAAUGUUAUUAUACAUCUCGUUUUUGUUGUAAAUGCCAAAAAUAAAUUUAUGCCUAAUCAUAAAAGGUAUAGUCCCACACAUAA